AAGAAGUUGUUUCUCUCUCUAUGCUCUUUGUCGCCGUCUCCAAGUCCUUUUGCAAAAUUUUCUUUUUCUUUUGCCGACGAAGCUGCAGAGAUGAAACAGGAUUCGGACCAAGCAGCAUCAACCAACAACAAUUAUUAUUUGUAUUUGGAUUGUUGGGUAAAAGCUUUGCAGAUAGCCAAACGAAUCUAUCUUUUGGCUUGGCUGAACUUAAAGAUAGCUUACGGACCUGAUUCUCAUCACGUGGAAAAGCAUACGUUUUAAGAACUCAGUUUCGGAUAUGUUGAUUUGGAGGCGAUAGCUAUACAAUAGGUCAAGAGUACAAUUAAAGACAGGUGUUGACAUUGUUGUUAGAAUCCUUGGUCGUAUGAAGGUACUUUUUUACUCCAGUGGAUGUAAAGGAAGAUAGCGGGUUAGAGUUUUGAGAAGAUGAUGUUCAACAUAAUCAUCACAUGAUGAUCUCUCUUCUGGGUUUGUAAAUUAGAAGGAUUUAUUUAUACGUGGCCAUGAGAAGCCAUCUUCUUGAGAACACACUAUGGAUCUACCAACUGAUUCGCUAGGCCAAGAUGAAAUGGGAGCUGAGUAUGUUUUUGGAAGUCAACACCAUCCACAUCUCUUAUAGUUGAUAAUAAGAGCACUGAUGGGCACUUCUUACGCAUUCAUUUCAACAUCAGAAUAGGUUGAAUAUAAUAACAAAAAGAAUUUGCAACAAUUCAUAGGCUCUAAUGAUAGUGACACGUUUGAAGCAUCUAACAAGAUGAAUGGGUAAGACCUUCUUUGGCGAUCGAUCUUCUCUUAGCCUUCUACUUUCAGAAUUGACUGCUUACUAUGUUGGUCAGUUGGUGGCAAUCGAUGAACACAGAAUUGCAGUUCAAGGCUUUGUGUGGAGUAUCAAUUCGUUUGACCAGUGGAGAGUUAAUCUAGGAACAGUUUUAUCUUCCGCUCUUCAUCUUCCUCUGAAUCUUAAAGUAGCUGCUGAAGCUGAGAAUUUACUAACAAAGUCUAUGUCCACUCUAGACACUUUUUAGCUUAAACAAUGCCAAGUUCUUGCUCGGAAACAACAAACCAAACAAUUAUAGCUGAUUUGAGCCUUUUGUGAGAAUUUUAUCAUUGUGCUUAUCAAAAGAUAAAUUAGAUUUACAUUGUCAGGCUAUGUGUUUUCGUUAUAUGCAUUUUCCUAGAUUUUGAUCUGUU